UUUUAUGGAGAGUUUGAUCCUGGCUCAGGAUGAACGCUGGCGGCGUGCCUAAUACAUGCAAGUCGAGCGAACGGACGAGAAGCUUGCUUCUCUGAUGUUAGCGGCGGACGGGUGAGUAACACGUGGAUAACCUACCUAUAAGACUGGGAUAACUUCGGGAAACCGGAGCUAAUACCGGAUAAUAUUUUGAACCGCAUGGUUCAAAAGUGAAAGACGGUCUUGCUGUCACUUAUAGAUGGAUCCGCGCUGCAUUAGCUAGUUGGUAAGGUAACGGCUUACCAAGGCAACGAUGCAUAGCCGACCUGAGAGGGUGAUCGGCCACACUGGAACUGAGACACGGUCCAGACUCCUACGGGAGGCAGCAGUAGGGAAUCUUCCGCAAUGGGCGAAAGCCUGACGGAGCAACGCCGCGUGAGUGAUGAAGGUCUUCGGAUCGUAAAACUCUGUUAUUAGGGAAGAACAUAUGUGUAAGUAACUGUGCACAUCUUGACGGUACCUAAUCAGAAAGCCACGGCUAACUACGUGCCAGCAGCCGCGGUAAUACGUAGGUGGCAAGCGUUAUCCGGAAUUAUUGGGCGUAAAGCGCGCGUAGGCGGUUUUUUAAGUCUGAUGUGAAAGCCCACGGCUCAACCGUGGAGGGUCAUUGGAAACUGGAAAACUUGAGUGCAGAAGAGGAAAGUGGAAUUCCAUGUGUAGCGGUGAAAUGCGCAGAGAUAUGGAGGAACACCAGUGGCGAAGGCGACUUUCUGGUCUGUAACUGACGCUGAUGUGCGAAAGCGUGGGGAUCAAACAGGAUUAGAUACCCUGGUAGUCCACGCCGUAAACGAUGAGUGCUAAGUGUUAGGGGGUUUCCGCCCCUUAGUGCUGCAGCUAACGCAUUAAGCACUCCGCCUGGGGAGUACGACCGCAAGGUUGAAACUCAAAGGAAUUGACGGGGACCCGCACAAGCGGUGGAGCAUGUGGUUUAAUUCGAAGCAACGCGAAGAACCUUACCAAAUCUUGACAUCCUUUGACAACUCUAGAAAUAGAGCUUUCCCCUUCGGGGGACAAAGUGACAGGUGGUGCAUGGUUGUCGUCAGCUCGUGUCGUGAGAUGUUGGGUUAAGUCCCGCAACGAGCGCAACCCUUAAGCUUAGUUGCCAUCAUUAAGUUGGGCACUCUAAGUUGACUGCCGGUGACAAACCGGAGGAAGGUGGGGAUGACGUCAAAUCAUCAUGCCCUUAUGAUUUGGGCUACACACGUGCUACAAUGGACAAUACAAAGGGCAGCGAAACCGCGAGGUCAAGCAAAUCCCAUAAAGUUGUUCUCAGUUCGGAUUGUAGUCUGCAACUCGACUACAUGAAGCUGGAAUCGCUAGUAAUCGUAGAUCAGCAUGCUACGGUGAAUACGUUCCCGGGUCUUGUACACACCGCCCGUCACACCACGAGAGUUUGUAACACCCGAAGCCGGUGGAGUAACCUUUUAGGAGCUAGCCGUCGAAGGUGGGACAAAUGAUUGGGGUGAAGUCGUAACAAGGUAGCCGUAUCGGAAGGUGCGGCUGGAUCACCUCCUUUCUA
rnacentral:rRNA from 1 species